CCUACGGGAGGCAGCAGUGGGGGAUAUUGCACAAUGGGGGGAACCCUGAUGCAGCGACGCCGCGUGGGUGAAGAAGCGCCUCGGCGCGUAAAGCCCUGUCAGCAGGGAAGAAAAUGACGGUACCUGAAGAAGAAGCCCCGGCUAAAUACGUGCCAGCAGCCGCGGUAAUACGUAGGGGGCAAGCGUUAUCCGGAUUUACUGGGUGUAAAGGGGGCGCAGACGGCGAUGCAAGCCAGGAGUGAAAGCCCGGGGCCCAACCCCGGGACUGCUCUUGGAACGGCGUGGCUGGAGUGCAGGAGGGGAAGGGGGAAUUCCUGGUGUAGCGGUGAAAGGAGUAGAUAUCAGGAGGAACACCGGUGGCGAAGGCGGCCUGCGGGACUGCAACUGACGUGGAGCACGAAAGCGUGGGGAGCGAACAGGAUUAGUUACCCGUGUAGUC
rnacentral:rRNA from 1 species